rnacentral:rRNA from 1 species
AUUGAACGCUAGCGGCAGGCUUUACACAUGCAAGUCGAACGAGUGGCGGACGGGUGAGUAAUAUCUCGGAACCUUCCCGGUUGCGGGGGCUAACUACUCGAAACGGUAUCUAAUACCGCAUACCAUCAGAUGUGCCCAUAUGGGAUUAGCUUGUUGGUGGGGUAACGGCUCACCAAGGCAACGAUCCCUAGCUGGUCUGAGAGGACGACCAGCCACACUGGGACUGAGACACGGUCCAGACUCCUACGGGAGGCGGCAGUGGGGAAUAUUGCACAAUGGGCGCAAGCCUGAUGCAGCCAUGCCGCGUGUAUGAAGAAGGCCUUCGGGUUGUAAAGUACUUUCAGCGGUGAGGCGUUAUCUGCAGAAGAAGCACCGGCUAACUCCGUGCCAGCAGCCGCGGUAAUUC